AUUAGCAGCAAUUUCAUUGAAACUUCAGGCAAUUACGGAACUGGCCUAAGCAACGCUGUCUGCUGUAAUCAGCCCUUUAGCCCUUCCCCACGAACCCGUUGUGGUUCAUGGAACCAAUGCCUCCUAGUACUCUGCUUGUCAAGCCUUUCUAUUAUUAAUAUGUCCGUUAGCGGCAUUCGGAACUGCAUCAUGGAGACAGCAAACUUUGCACCGCUCUUGCAGAUCCUUGAUCUCAGGGGAUAAGUCGUAGCACAAAAGCUAAGGCAUGGCGUCUAUAGUCGCAGUAAAUACUAUAUCAGAUUAAUACAGAAAUACCUUCGAAGGAAAGAACCCUAACUCUAUUGUCUCUUCCUUGAGUCUUGAGUUACGGAAAUAAGCAGAGUGGCAGGACUAACGGUAUUUUCCAUGAUGGUUGGAAAGCUCUAAGUUCAUGGGCAAUAUCUUCAAUCAGUGCUAACUACAUUUGGAGCGGGGGCUUUGCCUUCGCAGCUGCUUUUUAAGCGUGAUACGACGUCUGCUAUGUAUCUCCUCCCGAUAAAGAAAAAAAAAAGGUGUUUUUCUAUAGAAGAUAAAAAGCAGGGCGAUGAUGGUCUUAAAUUCAGUAGCUAAUUUUUCGUUCUCAACUGUCUUGUUGGGAAUGCUAACCAUAUGAGAGAGAACCAUUAGUCAACAAAGCAAUUGCAGUACAAUGGAUUCCCUUUUGGUUGCUUCAACAGUUCUGAAUGAUGUUACAAUUCGUCAAAACUCAAAUAAACCGAUUGCAUUGUAAGCUGAACCGUAUCUUUUUGCACCAUUGGAAAAUAUUUAAAUCUCUAAAUGAAUAAAAGAUAGGGUGACGCUGACAACAGGAUGUGUAUAUAA